rnacentral:rRNA from 1 species
UACGUAGGGGGCAAGCGUUGUCCGGAAUCAUUGGGCGUAAAGCGUGCGUAGGCGGCCCGGUAAGUCCGCUGUAAAAGUCCAGGGCUCAACCCUGGAAAGCCGGUGGAUACUGUCGGGCUAGAGUCCGGAAGAGGCGAGUGGAAUUCCUGGUGUAGCGGUGGAAUGCGCAGAUAUCAGGAGGAACACCGAUGGCGAAGGCAGCUCGCUGGGACGGUACUGACGCUGAGGCGCGAAAGCGUGGGGAGCGAACAGG